rnacentral:rRNA from 1 species
GACGAACGCUGGCGGCGUGCUUAACACAUGCAAGUCGAACGGAAAGGCCCUGCUUUUGUGGGGUGCUCGAGUGGCGAACGGGUGAGUAACACGUGAGUAACCUGCCCUUGACUUUGGGAUAACUUCAGGAAACUGGGGCUAAUACCGGAUAGGGGCUCCUGCUGCAUGGUGGGGGUUGGAAAGUUUCGGCGGUUGGGGAUGGACUCGCGGCUUAUCAGCUUGUUGGUGGGGUAGUGGCUUACCAAGGCUUUGACGGGUAGCCGGCCUGAGAGGGUGACCGGGCACAUUGGGACUGAGAUACGGACCAGACUCCUACGGGAGGCAGCAGUGGGGAAUAUUGCACAAUGGGCGGAAGCCUGAUGCAGCAACGCCGCGUGCGGGAUGACGGCCUUCGGGUUGUAAACCGCUUUCGCCUGUGACGAAGCGUGAGUGACGGUAAUGGGUAAAGAAGCACCGGCUAACUACGUG